GGCUCGGUGGUCUAGGGUAUGAUUCUCGCUUAGGGUGCGAGAGGUCCCGGGUUCAAAUCCCGGCCGAGCCC
rnacentral:tRNA from 2 species